rnacentral:sRNA from 1 species
GCCAGGUACCGUGGUGCGCACCUGUAAUCCCAGUGGCUCAGGAGGCUGAGGCAGGAGGAUCUGGAGAUCAAAGUCAGUCUCUGGAACUUAGCCCCUGAGAAGCUCAGUGAGACCCUGUCUCUA